GAAGGAAAGUCGCUCAAGCAGUGGACAGAGCGGAGAAAGCGACUUCGGGUUGGUUGAAGGGUCUGCUGGAGUUUGCUGGAGGUGCACUCCAGACUCUGUUUGCCUGCCUAUCACCAACAGAGGCUGCAGAACAGCAAAGAUUGCUGUCUGUAACUUCCUCUGGAAGCUUCAUCCCAGAGGGGCACCUGCCAGAUGCCAGCCGGAGCUCUCCUCUAUGAGUGAAUGAAGGAGGGAAGAAAGGAGAGACAGAGAAAAUAUGGGUGAGUAGUGUCUCCAUCUGAGAUUUUUUUCUCAGUAAGAUCAUGUCUUUUUGGCUCCAUUCCACUACUUCCUUCAUUGGACUGCAAGGUAUUUCUGUUUGGAAAAGUAAUGGAGUCCAGUCAACUUCAUUGAUCGCCAAGGACUGUCAAAAUUAUAAAACUUGCUGUGGAGCUCUGACAUGCCAGAAGCCGCUAGAAAAAGAAGUUUGACAUUCAGAAACUUAUCAAGAGGUUCUACUCUUUGGAUAGAGACCAAAAUCAUACUUUGAAUGAUAUGCAAUGCAAGACUCCCAAGAUUCUGGGCAGUGGCAGGGAGGUGCAGCUUCUAGUCUGCCGCAUGAUCACAAUGAAAGCCUGACAGGUUUCUUCGGAAAAGUGGCCAUCCAUGGAAUGAAUGAAAUGUUCUCUUUCUAUUCCAGGGAUUGCAGUGGCAAAGCUAGGCUAGGUCUUGGAGGCUGGUGUAAGGCGAUGUGGGUGAAGGCAGGAGGCUGAUGGAAAGACUGGGGGGAAGAAAAGCCGAAAUGGAUUCACGGUGCCUUGGAUGAAGGACGAGAGGGGAACUGCAAGCUCCUUCAACUGGUUCUGUCCGGUGAGAAGUGAUCAAGCUUGGGCUGACAAGAGGCUCAGGGAGCCCUCACGUUCUUUCGCUUUUUUACCUGCCAAUCAAACUGCUACAAGACAACACCCUGAUCUGGCAUGGACAUAUCCAACUUAGAAAUAAUGUUUCAUUCAAGAUAAGGCUCGUGGCUUAGGAGAUUGUGACCUGGCUUGCAUCAUUCUAAGACUUCUAUCGUCUGUUUUCAAAACCCAAGGAGGACCUCCUUUUCUGUGUGAUAGUUCCUCAUGCUUUGCCAGCCACUGGGUCUUUAAGGAAGCUUGCCAAGAGUUCCCGGCUGGGAAGGACAGUUCGAGUUCAUCAUAGACAAUGAGCUGGCACCACAGUUUAAGUGACUCACCAACCUGGUUGCCCACUUCAAAAUGUCAAGAACCACACUAUCUAAUUGAAAGAACUGUGUUUUAGCAAAGUGUAAUUGGAUCGCCUGGCAAGAUCAUCUCAAACUAUGUCUCUGACCUUGCCUUUCAGUGGCUAUUUUGAGCACAAGAGGAGAAAGGAAAUGAUUCCUGAAUUAUAUCUUGUUUUUAAAAAUUAAGAUUAAUUAAUACUUGGUUUUAUGUUCAUUCCAUUGUAGGAACUUAGUGAUUAUUACAAAACAGUCAAAAUAGGUCAUAGCAAAAUGAACGUUUAAGAUUAGGUUAAAACAUUCCUCUGAAAUUUUAGUAUUCACUUUUGAAGUGUCAAUUACUAUAUUUCUGUAAUUUCUCAUUUUUUUCUUGGCUUAGAGUCAAGAUGAAAAAUGAUAUUUGAAUCAAAGACAUUGUUUUGUUAUAUAGCCACUCCUUUCUAAAAUGCAAAUCCACCCUCCCCUCACCAAUGCUUUAUUCUUUGUGCGCGCACACACACACACACACACACACACACACACACACACACACAGACAUACACAGAACCAGCACCCAAAUGGUAGAGGAGGUCCUUCCAAGACUUCUAGGACCUGGAUCAUGUAAGCAGUAGAUGAGAAAAUGAAGUAAGAGAUAUAGAGUAAUAACAAUAAAAGUCAAUGAUUUCAUUUUACAAAAAAGUCAUUGUGUAGUACUCAGAUAUUUUUAAGAGCAAGUAUUAUUAUGACUAAAGUAUAUUAUACUUCUAAAUUAUUAUGAUUCUCAUCUAAUUUCAAGCCACACAUAGGCGCCAUUUGAAAGCAUUUUGUGUUACAACCUAUCAACAAAAAUCAACUAAUAGUUUUAUAACGUGCAUAGGUUUACCCCAUGGGGAAUUAAAAUUUUUAUCUGCAAGUAUUUCUGUUGUUGUGAGACUUUAGGACAAGACAACAUUUGGUGUUAACAUAGAAGAAUAUUCUAUGGCUUUUUUAGCUUUAAAGUUCAUUA
rnacentral:lncRNA from 1 species